GACGAACGCUGGCGGCGUGCUUAACACAUGCAAGUCGAACGGAAAGGCCCUGCUUUUGUGGGGUGCUCGAGUGGCGAACGGGUGAGUAACACGUGAGUAACCUGCCCUUGACUUUGGGAUAACUUCAGGAAACUGGGGCUAAUACCGGAUAGGAGCUCCUGCUGCAUGGUGGGGGUUGGAAAGUUUCGGCGGUUGGGGAUGGACUCGCGGCUUAUCAGCUUGUUGGUGGGGUAGUGGCUUACCAAGGCUUUGACGGGUAGCCGGCCUGAGAGGGUGACCGGCCACAUUGGGACUGAGAGACGGCCCAGACUCCUACGGGAGGCAGCAGUGGGGAAUAUUGCACAAUGGGCGGAAGCCUGAUGCAGCAACGCCGCGUGCGGGAUGACGGCCUUCGGGUUGUAAACCGCUUUCGCCUGUGACGAAGCGUGAGUGGCGGUAAUGGGUAAAGAAGCACCGGCUAACUACGUG
rnacentral:rRNA from 1 species